rnacentral:rRNA from 1 species
UACGUAGGGGGGCAAGCGUUUAUCCGGAAUCAUUGGGCGUAAAGCGCGUGUAGGCGGUUCCGUAAGUCCGCUCUGAAAGCCCAGGGCUCAACCCUGGGAGGCGGGUGGAUACUACGGAACUGGAGUACGGAAGAGGAGAUUGGAAUUCCUGGUGUAGCGGUGAAAUGCGCAGAUAUCAGGAGGAACACCAACAGCGAAGGCAGAUCUCUGGGACGUUACUGACGCUGAGACGCGAAAGCGUGGGGAGCAAACAGG